rnacentral:lncRNA from 1 species
ACAUAUAGGGGAUUUAUGGGGUCAUUUGGGGACAAUAGGGGACAUAUAGGGACAAUAUGGGUCAUAAAGGGACAUAUGGGGGCAUAUAGGGACAAUAUGGCACAUAUAGGGACAUAUGGGGACAAUAUGGAUCAUAUGGAGACAUAUGGGGACAUAUAGGGACAAUAUGGGGUCAUAUGGGGACAAUAGGGGACAUAUAGGGACAUAUGGGGACAUAUAGGGACAUAUGGGGUCAUAUAGGGACAAUAUGGCACAUAUAGGGACAUAUGGGGUCAUAUAGGGUCAUAUGGGGACAAUAGGGGACAUAUAGGGACA